rnacentral:rRNA from 1 species
AUGUUGAGAAGAAGGCACUACAAGAUACAAGAUGAUGACUACACGUGCUUGUUAUGCCAAAACCCUCUUGAGGAGGAUGUGGAACACCUUUUCUUCAACUGCCCCUUCAGCCGGAGAUGCUGGGAUAGCAUAGGGGUCCAGUGGCCGGUGGCUGAUUGCAGACUGGAGUUGCUACACGCUGGCAAAAACUCUUGGAGUGGGCCAAUGUUUAUGGAGUUGUUCAUAGUGGCGGCUUGGGGGAUUUGGAAGGAAAGAAAUGACAAGCACUUCAGAGGGAUUCAACCAACUUUGAGAUCUUGGAAGACCAGGUUUAAAAAUGACUUUGCUAUGUUGGUUCAUAGGGCCAAGCCAGAGUCUACCACAUUCAUUUUAUCUCUAGUUGCUGCAUUGUAA